UGGGGAAUAUUGCACAAUGGGCGCAAGCCUGAUGCAGCCAUGCCGCGUGUGUGAAGAAGGCCUUCGGGUUGUAAAGCACUUUCAGCGAGGAGGAAGGUGGUGAGCUUAAUACGCUCAUCAAUUGACGUUACUCGCAGAAGAAGCACCGGCUAACUCCGUGCCAGCAGCCGCGGUAAUACGGAGGGUGCAAGCGUUAAUCGGAAUUACUGGGCGUAAAGCGCACGCAGGCGGUCUGUUAAGUCAGAUGUGAAAUCCCCGGGCUCAACCUGGGAACUGCAUUUGAAACUGGCAAGCUAGAGUCUCGUAGAGGGGGGUAGAAUUCCAGGUGUAGCGGUGAAAUGCGUAGAGAUCUGGAGGAAUACCGGUGGCGAAGGCGGCCCCCUGGACGAAGACUGACGCUCAGGUGCGAAAGCGUGGGGCAGCAAACAGGAUUAGAUACCCUGGUAGUCCAGCGCUGUAAACGAUGUCGAUUUGGAGGUUGUGCCCUUGAGGCGUGGCUUCCGGAGCUAACGCGUUAAAUCGACCGCCUGGGGAGUACGGCCGCAAGGUU
rnacentral:rRNA from 1 species